UAUGGCGACCGGCGCACGGGUGAGUAACACGUAUCCAACCUGCCGACNGUACUCGGGGAUAGCCUUUCGAAAGAAAGAUUAAUACCCGAUGGCAUAGUUCUUCCGCAUGGUAGAACUAUUAAAGAAUUUCGGUCAUCGAUGGGGAUGCGUUCCAUUAGCUUGUUGGCGGGGUAACGGCCCACCAAGGCAUCGAUGGAUAGGGGUUCUGAGAGGAAGGUCCCCCACAUUGGAACUGAGACACGGUCCAAACUCCUACGGGAGGCAGCAG
rnacentral:rRNA from 1 species